AUUGAACGCUGGCGGCAGGCCUAACACAUGCAAGUCGAGCGAGCGGCGGACGGGUGAGUAAUGUCUGGGAAACUGCCUGAUGGAGGGGGAUAACUACUGGAAACGGUAGCUAAUACCGCAUACCAUCAGAUGUGCCCAGAGGGGAUUAGCUAGUAGGUGGGGUAACGGCGCACCUAGGCGACGAUCCCUAGCUGGUCUGAGAGGAUGACCAGCAACAUUGGAACUGAGGAACGGUCCUGACGCCUACGGGGGGCAGCAGUGGGGAAUAGUGCACAAUGGGCGCAAGCCUGAUGCAGCCUUGCCGCGUGUGUGAAGAAGGCCUUCGGGUUGUAAAGCACUUUCAGCGGGGAGGCGUUACCCGCAGAAGAAGCACCGGCUAACUCCGUGCCAGCAGCCGCGGUAAUUC
rnacentral:rRNA from 1 species